rnacentral:rRNA from 1 species
GGGACACGUGGUAUCCUGUCUGAAUAUGGGGGGACCAUCCUCCAAGGCUAAAUACUCCUGACUGACCGAUAGUGAACCAGUACCGUGAGGGAAAGGCGAAAAGAACCCCGGCGAGGGGAGUGAAAAAGAACCUGAAACCGUGUACGUACAAGCAGUGGGAGCACCUUCGGGUGUGACUGCGUACCUUUUGUAUAAUGGGUCAGCGACUUAUAUUCUGUAGCAAGGUUAACCGUAUAGGGGAGCCGAAGGGAAACCGAGUCUUAACUGGGCGUUAAGUUGCAGGGUAUAGACCCGAAACCCGGUGAUCUAGCCAUGGGCAGGUUGAAGGUUGGGUAACACUAACUGGAGGACCGAACCGACUAAUGUUGAAAAAUUAGCGGAUGACUUGUGGCUGGGGGUGAAAGGCCAAUCAAACCGGGAGAUAGCUGGUUCUCCCCGAAAGCU